UACGUAGGGUGCAAGCGUUGUCCGGAAUUAUUGGGCGUAAAGAGCUCGUAGGCGGUCUGUCGCGUCGGAUGUGAAAACCCAGGGCUCAACCCUGGGCCUGCAUUCGAUACGGGCAGACUAGAGUACUGCAGGGGAGACUGGAAUUCCUGGUGUAGCGGUGGAAUGCGCAGAUAUCAGGAGGAACACCGGUGGCGAAGGCGGGUCUCUGGGCAGUAACUGACGCUGAGGAGCGAAAGCGUGGGGAGCGAACAGG
rnacentral:rRNA from 1 species